AACGAACGCUGGCGGCAGGCCUAACACAUGCAAGUCGAACGCCCCGCAAGGGGAGUGGCAGACGGGUGAGUAACACGUGGGAACAUGCCCUUCGGUACGGAAUAACUCAGGGAAACUUGUGCUAAUACCGUAUACGUCCGAGAGGAGAAAGAUUUAUCGCCGAAGGAUUGGCCCGCGUCUGAUUAGCUAGUUGGUGAGGUAAUGGCUCACCAAGGCGACGAUCAGUAGCUGGUCUGAGAGGAUGAUCAGCCACAUUGGGACUGAGACACGGCCCAAACUCCUACGGGAGGCAGCAGUGGGGAAUAUUGGACAAUGGGCGCAAGCCUGAUCCAGCCAUGCCGCGUGAGUGAUGAAGGCCUUAGGGUUGUAAAGCUCUUUUACCCGGGAAGAUAAUGACUGUACCGGGAGAAUAAGCCCCGGCUAACUUCGUG
rnacentral:rRNA from 1 species